rnacentral:rRNA from 1 species
CAGCCGCCGCGGGAAUACGGAGGGUGCAAGCGUUAAUCGGAAUUACUGGGCGUAAAGCGCACGCAGGCGGUCUGACAAGUCAGAUGUGAAAUCCCCGGGCUUAACCUGGGAACUGCAUUUGAAACUGUCAGGCUGGAGUCUUGUAGAGGGGGGUGGAAUUCCAGGUGUAGCGGUGAAAUGCGUAGAGAUCUGGAGGAAUACCGGUGGCGAAGGCGGCCCCCUGGACAAAGACUGACGCUCAGGUGCGAAAGCGUGGGGAGCAAACAGGAUUAGAUACCCGGGUAGUCCCUGUCUCUUAUAU